GUCCCUGUAGCGCAAUAGAUACCUCGUUGGACUUCUAAUCCAAAGGUCGUGGAUUCGGAUCCCACCUAGGAUG
rnacentral:tRNA from 1 species